UACUUAGUGGCAGACGGGUGAGUAACAUGUGGGUAUCUACCCUUUGGCCUGGAAUAACACGAGGAAACUUGUGCUAAUACCGGAUAAGUCUUUACGGAGAAAGCUUUAUGCACCAUUGGAUGAGCCCGCACUUGAUUAGUUUGUUGGUAGGGUAAUGGCCUACCAAGACUAUGAUCAAUAGCUGAUUUGAGAGGAUGAUCAGCCACAUUGGGACUGAGACACGGCCCAAACUCCUACGGGAGGCAGCAGUGGGGAAUCUUGCACAAUGGAGGAAACUCUGAUGCAGCGAUGCCGCGUGAGUGAAGAAGGCCUUUGGGUUGUAAAGCUCUUUCGUCGGGGAAGAAAAUGACUGUACCCGAAUAAGAAGGUCCGGCUAACUUCGUGCCAGCAGCCGCGGUAAUACGAAGGGACCUAGCGUAGUUCGGAAUUACUGGGCUUAAAGAGUUCGUAGGUGGUUGAAAAAGUUGGUGGUGAAAUCCCAGAGCUUAACUCUGGAACUGCCAUCAAAACUUUUCAGCUAGAGUA
rnacentral:rRNA from 1 species